rnacentral:rRNA from 1 species
AUACGGAGGGUGCAAGCGUUACUCGGAAUCACUGGGCGUAAAGCGCGCGCAGGCGGCUAUUUAAGUUGGAUGUGAAAGCCUACGGCUCAACCGUAGAACUGCAUCCAAAACUAUUUAGCUAGAGGGUGGGAGAGGAAGAUGGAAUUAGUUGUGUAGGGGUAAAAUCCGUAGAGAUAACUAGGAAUACCAAAAGCGAAGGCAAUCUUCUGGAACACUACUGACGCUGAGGCGCGAAAGCGUGGGGAGCAAACAGGAUUAGAUACCCUAGUAGUCC